rnacentral:rRNA from 1 species
ACCCGCUGAAUUUAAGCAUAUCAAUAAGCGGAGGAAAAGAAACCAACAGGGAUUGCCCCAGUAACGGCGAGUGAAGCGGCAAGAGCUCAAAUUUGAAAGCUGGCUCCUUCGGGGUCCGCAUUGUAAUUUGUAGAGGAUGCUUCGGGAGCGGUCCCCAUCUAAGUGCCCUGGAACGGGACGUCAUAGAGGGUGAGAAUCCCGUAUGGGAUGGGGUGUCCGCGCCCGUGUGAAGCUCCUUCGACGAGUCGAGUUGUUUGGGAAUGCAGCUCUAAAUGGGUGGUAAAUUUCAUCUAAAGCUAAAUAUUGGCCGGAGACCGAUAGCGCACAAGUAGAGUGAUCGAAAGAUGAAAAGCACUUUGAAAAGAGAGUUAAAAAGCACGUGAAAUUGUUGAAAGGGAAGCGCUUGCGACCAGACUCGCUCGCGGGGUUCAGCCGGCAUUCGUGCCGGUGUACUUCCCCGCGGGCGGGCCAGCGUCGGUUUGGGCGGUCGGUCAAAGGCCCUCGGAAGGUAACGCCCCUAGGGGCGUCUUAUAGCCGAGGGUGCAAUGCGACCUGCCUAGACCGAGGAACGCGCUUCGGCUCGGACGCUGGCAUAAUGGUCGUAAACGACCCGUCUUGAAA